GACGAACGCUGGCGGCGUGCCUAAUACAUGCAAGUAGGACGCAGUUGCGAACGGGUGAGUAACGCGUAGGUAACUACCUAUUAGAGGGGGAUAACUAUUGGAAACGAUAGCUAAUACCGCAUACUAGUAGAUGGACCUGCGUUGUAUUAGCUAGUAGGUUGGGUAAUGGCCUACCUAGGCAACGAUACAUAGCCGACCUGGAAGGGUGAUCGGGCAAACUGGGAAUGGGGCAAGGCCCAAACUCCUACGGGAGGCAGCAGUAGGGAAUCGUCGGCAAUGGGGGGAACGCUGACCGAGCAACGGCGGGUGAGUGAAGAAGGGUUUCGGAUCGUAAAGCUCUGUUGUUAAGGAAGCGGUACUUAACCAGAAAGGGACGGCUAACUACGUGCCAGCAGCCGCGGUAAUAC
rnacentral:rRNA from 1 species